AACUCUUCUAGGGCAAUGCAAUCGGCCUUCAUGGGCUUGGUCUUCUUUACUUUCGUGGAAAAGGAGUUCCCCUGAAUUAUGCCGAAGCACUUAAAUACUUUCAGAAAGCUGCGGAAAAAGGGUGGCCCGACGCACAGUUCCAGUUAGGCUUCAUGUACUACUAAAAGGCUAACAUUCUUGAAAAAGAGAAGAUGUAUCCAAUGGCGCUUCUCCUAUGGAAUCGAGCUGCCAUUCAAGGACAUUCACUUGGCCAGAAGAUUGUACGACAUGGCUGCUCAAACGAGUCCAGAUGCCCACAUACCUGUGCUCUUUGCCGUCAUGAAACUGGAAACUACGCAUUUGCUCCGGGAUAUCCUGUUUUUUAAUGUAAGUUUGUCUUGAACAGGUCCUGAAUCUCUGAAAGUCUCCAGUGAGCAACUCUUAGGGACAAAGUGACAAGGCCCAUCAGGGAGUCUCUUGUGGACUGGCUUUCCUUUGAGAAGUAAAAUUCAGAGUCUUACACUUGCCAUGCAGAGUAAUUCUGCAUGUUCUAUUGAGUAUGUGUUG
rnacentral:sRNA from 1 species